CGGAAGUCCAUUUUUCUCUUUCCGUUUCAUACUCGACAAAAUCUGCGUUAGGUGACGAUGAAUUUCUGAAGAUCUGAUUGCUCUAACAAUCUGAAUUUGUGGAUCAUCUUCCUCCGAUCGCGUGAAAAACAUGGCCAAGGAUGUCGAAGUUAAUGGAUUCAACCCAGGAUUGAUUGUCUUACUUGUUAUCGGUGGGCUUGUGCUGACGUUCCUUAUUGGGAACUAUGUCCUUUAUGUGUAUGCCCAGAAAACCCUUCCUCCAAAGAAAAAGAAGCCGAUCUCCAAGAAGAAGAUGAAGAAAGAAAGACUGAAGCAAGGUGUUUCA
rnacentral:misc_RNA from 1 species